rnacentral:rRNA from 1 species
GUGAGGAAUAUUGGACAAUGGGCGCAAGCCUGAUCCAGCCAUGCCGCGUGCAGGAAGACGCAUCUAUGGUGUGUAAACUGCUUUUGUACGGGAAGAAACACUCCCUCGUGAGGGAGCUUGACGGUACCGUAAGAAUAAGGAUCGGCUAACUCCGUGCCAGCAGCCGCGGUAAUACGGAGGAUCCAAGCGUUAUCCGGAAUCAUUGGGUUUAAAGGAUCCGUAGGCGGUUUAAUAAGUCAGUGGUGAAAGCCCAUCGCUCAACGAUGGAACGGCCAUUGAUACUGUUAGACUUGAAUUACAAGGAAGUAACUAGAAUAUGUAGUGUAGCGGUGAAAUGCUUAGAUAUUACAUGGAAUACCAAUUGCGAAGGCAGGUUACUACUUGUGGAUUGACGCUGAUGGACGAAAGCGUGGGGAGCGAACAGGAUUAGAUACCCCUGUAGUCC